UUCCCACGAAAUAGUGCAAAGUCACAUUUCCAAACACGGGCCCAUGGAGCUUCAGAAACAACUCAAAGUGAUAUCCUGGCCCUCAAUGAAUAAAGUAAUUGUUUGAUAGCUUACAGUAUGCAUAGUCAUCUUUUAUUCUGUUCUCUACAUUUCUCCUGGGAUAAUGGGCCUUGCAGAGAGCUUUGUAGACAGCUCUCUGUUAUCACUCACUUCUCCAUGUGUCCCUGCAACCGCUGAUCUUGACCAGAUUUAGGAUGUGCCAUGUACAACAAGUGAAAACACUGAAUAAAUCUUGGUCCUAUAUAAAGUA